UAUUAGUCUUUUAAUUGAAGGCUUGAAUGAAAGAUUGAAUGAAAAAUAAACUUUAUUAAUAAAAAUUAUUUAAUUUAUUUUUUAAGUAAAAAUUCUUAAAUAAAUAAGUGGGACGAGAAGACCCUUUAGAGUUUUAUUUUUAUUUUUAUUAUGAAAUUAAAGAAUCAAUAUUUCUAUGAUAAAAAUGAAUUUUUUAUUGGGGUGAUAUUAAAAAUUAUUAAACUUUUAAUUAAUAUUUCAUUAAUAUAUGUUUAAUUGAUCCAAUAAAUUUUUGAUUAUAAGAUUAAAUUACCUUAGGGAUAACAGCGUUAUUAAUUUGAAGAGUCCAAAUCGAUAAAUUAGUUUGCGGCCUCGAUGU
rnacentral:rRNA from 1 species